CAACGUUGAUAUAAUUAGUGUCAUCACCUUUAUUUUGUUUUGUGUUCAAUUAUUUAAAUAACCCAGAAUUAAAGGAGGGGUACAUGAGACAUAUUGUUGAUACACACAUUUUGUUGUUAGUCAUAUUAUCAAUACAUUUUUUCCUUUUUUUUCAAACUCAAGAAAUCUCCCCCUCUUGUUUUUAAAAAAUUUAACAGUUAAAAACAAAUUCUUAAUUACAAUUACGGCCUUGUUCAAGGACCUUGUCAUCUCAGGGAUUUGAUCUAGCAACCUUUUCGGUUACUAGUCCAACGCUCUAAUCACUAGGCUCUAACCACUAGGCUACCCUGCCGCCUCUACGCUCUACCCACUAGGCUACCCUGCCACCUCUACACUCUAACCACUAGGCUACCCUGCCGCCUCUACGCUCUAACCACUAGGCUACCCUGCCGCCCCUACACUCUACCCACUAGGCUACCCUGCCGCCUCCACACUCUAACCACUAGGCUACCCUGCCGCCCCUACACUCUACCCACUAGGCUACCCUGCCGCCUCCACACUCUAACCACUAGGCUACCCUGCCGCCCCUACACUCUACCCACUAGGCUACCCUGCCACCUCUACUCUCUACCCACUAGGCUACCCUGCCGCCUCCACACUCUAACCACUAGGCUACCCUGCCACCUCUACACUCUAACCACUAGGCUACCUGCCGCCCCUACACUCUACCCACUAGGCUACCCUGCCACCUCUACACUCUAACCACUAGGCUACCCUUCCGCCCCAACACUCUAACCACUAGGCUACCCUGCCGCCCCUACACUCUAACCACUGGGCUACCUGCCGCCCUCUACACUCUAACCACUGGGCUACCCUGACCCCUCUACACUCUAACCGCUAGGCUACCUGUCCCUCUACACUCUAACCGGACAUAGCCAUCCUGUGUUGAUGGGCAGGUUGGACUCACAGAGGAAGGGAGGGGGAGUGGGGAGGGAGGGGGGUUACUCGAGACUGAUCCCUACAGGGGCAACAUCUGAAAUACUGUGUUGUUGAUAUACCGAUGAUUUCUAACAGUUCGGUAGCAUUUGGACAUUUUUUCUUUCUUCUUUUCUCAUUUCACCUUUUCGUGUUGUGAAUGUUCUGACAACAACACUCGUUGUGAGACAAGGAAGAAAGAAAAAACACCCAGCGAAAUGUGUUUACACAUAGUGAAUAGGAUGCCAUUUAAGACACAGGCGUGACAGUGAGAAGGUUAUUCCUGCUUACACAAGGUGCCAAGCCACCAUAAUACCAGCUGUCCCUGUCAGUCAGAGAUUUGUCAGGGUUGUAUUCAUUAGGGUACACUGUAGCAAAAUGCUGUGCAAAGGGAAAAAAAUCCUUAUUGGACGAGCUCAGGUAGUCCCUUCUUGUUUCACAACCUUUUUUUCUUUCUUCUGUUUUGGUGUCUAAGGAAUACAGCCCACAUGUGACUCGUCAGUAAUCUACAGAUGCAGCGGUCAUAUAGAGUCCUAUGUGUUUAGGGGACAAGGAUACAAGUCCAACACUCUAACCACUAGACUACCCUGUGUUUAGGGGACAAGGAUACAAGUCCAACACUCUAACCACUAGACUACCCUGUGUUUAGGGGACAAGGAUACAAGUCCAACACUCUAACCACUAGGCUACCCUGUGUUUAGGGGACAAGGAUACAAGUCCAACACUCUAAC
ensembl:lncRNA